GCCAGGCAUGGUGAUGCAUGUCUGUAGUCCCCGCUACUCGGGAGGCUGAGGCAGGAGGAUUGCUUGAACCUGGGAGGCUGAGGUUGCAGUGAGCUGAGAUUAUGCCACUGCAAUCCAGCCUGGGUGACAGAGCGAGACUUUGUCUUUU
rnacentral:SRP_RNA from 1 species